GACGAACGCUGGCGGCGUGCUUAACACAUGCAAGUCGAGCGGUAAGGCCCUUUCGGGGGUACACGAGCGGCGAACGGGUGAGUAACACGUGGGUGACCUGCCCUCAGCUCUGGGAUAAGCCUGGGAAACCGGGUCUAAUACCGGAUAUGACUCCAUGACGCAUGUUGUGGGGUGGAAAGCCUUGUGCGGCUGAGGACGGGCCCGCGGCCUAUCAGCUUGUUGGUGGGGUGAUGGCCACCAAGGCGACGACGGGUAGCCGGCCUGAGAGGGCGACCGGCCACACUGGGACUGAGACACGGCCCAGACUCCUACGGGAGGCAGCAGUGGGGAAUCUUGCGCAAUGGGCGAAAGCCUGACGCAGCGACGCCGCGUGAGGGAUGACGGCCU
rnacentral:rRNA from 1 species